UAAUGAGGCUGUGAACACUUCUGCCCAGGGAGGAGGAGGAUAUGCUCAGUUUUCCCUCUGGAUUUUGAGGUCUGGAGGAAAACUGACACAAAUGUAUGUGUUCUUGGAAAGCCAAUGGCUGCCUUAGAGUGUGAAGUUGACCUUUGCUAGGUAGCGUCCCGGUCACCUGUACACUGUAUAUAGUUUUUUUUAAUCAUAAUCAGACAUUUCCACAGCUGUCCAAAACUUGAAUGCAGAGCUGCAGAAGCUUUAGAAAUCACUUCCCAAUCUAAUGUGACCAACUUGGGAGGUGUUUCAGGUUGUCAGCGUUGGAAGUUUGAAGCGUAAAAUGAAAAUUUUUUUUCUCACUCGUCACGUGGACACAUGUGGCUCUCUGAUGGGAGAGCGUAGGAAAAGGUGGAUAUCUAAUCUUAAUUCCUUUUCUCUAACCCAAAUUACCCCACAUCAACCUAACCCUUUUUCAAGCACAGAGCCUCCUUAACGCAGUACCACAGGUUUUCAGCAUCCAAGGGGAGGCACGGACCUCUUCCACCACGUCAGCACCAAGCAACUCUCACAGCCAGCGUUUCUGCUUAGGAUUGCAAAUUUUGCUUUGAUUUGUUUUCUUGCCUCCAACUUUGCUUUCUUGUAGGCCAACAAUCCUGUAUGCAGGUUGAAGUUAUGGCCGUGUAUUUUAUUUUUUCUUCUUGGUUGAUGCCCCUCCAGAUUAUUUGUUUACUGCCACUAUACAGCUUUGGUUGCUACGUUUUUCUUUUGUUUUCUUCUGGUUUUGUUUAAAAAAAAUAUUAAUUUUUUGAUGUCAGAAUGGACUUCAGUCUUUGAAAUGGCAGUGCAGAGUUCCUAUAUACUUUUCUUUUGUUUAAGUUUGCUGCUACUGCUGCACUGGCCAUGAGUCAGAGUCCAUCUGAGAUUCUCUCAGUAGAAACAAUUACAGUCUCAAAGUUUAUUGUUGUUUUAAAGAUUCACUGAUUGAGAUUCUUUUAUUGUUAAAGUCUUAGUCAGCUGUAGGGAGCCUGUGUGAUUGUUAUUGGCAGAGCUUUGCUUGUAGGAGGGUGCUGAUGAUGUCUGUCUUGUCUUUUGUCUGCCGCUCUCAGGUCUCCUUCUCCUGAGCCCAUCUACAACAGCGAGGGCAAGAGGUUAAACACCCGCGAGUAUCGCACACGAAAGAAGCUCGAGGAGGAGCGACAUGCACUUAUCACUGAAAUGGUUGGACUCAACCCUGACUUCAAGCCUCCUGCAGACUACAAGUAUGAUUAUCUUUUUUUUUUCUUUCACCCCAUUAACUGUAUUUUAAAUUUUUGUUUCAUUUUGUGUUCGUUUAUCUGAUAAAAUAAAAGGCUGGCGUUUUAUCUGGGACGCCAGUUUGAUGAGGGACAGAAAAACAACAUGAAGCACGCGGUCUUUUAAUGGGGGGCACUGGUGUGAUUUUGGUAGAAAAAGUAAAUAACAAAUGACCAAUUGACCGGAUGGUUAAGCGUUGCUGUUAGUGUGAGUGUGUAUCCCAAAUAAGGUAACUGUUACUAACUGUUAACUGUUGGAUUGAAGAUGUUAUAAUGCCACCCUCGGUGUCUGUGAUGGGAAAUUGCAAACAGGGAAAGUUGAUAAGUAGAUGGAUGAAGCUUUGC
ensembl:lncRNA